CUCAUUUUCUCUUGCUGCUACCAUGGAAGAAGCGACUUUCGCCUCCCGCCGUGAUUCUGAGGCCUUUCCAGCCAUGUCAAACUCAAAAUGUGACUGAAAAACAGAAGCAUUUGGAAUACGUAACAGAAGUCAUUAAAAAGAGCCAUGUAAUAUGUGCCUGCUUCCCCUUCUGCCAUGAUUGUAAGUUUCCUGAUGCCUUCUCAGCCAUGCAGAACUGAAUCCAUUAUUGUUUGCAUUAUCAUUGACGACUGUGAGAAUCUGCAGAAAAAAACAGUAUGGAACUACAACUUCACGUUCUUGAGAAAAGCUUGCAGUGUAAGAUGCGUUUGUUUGUGGUGCCUGAGGAAGAGAGCAGCAGAAAAGAGAGUUGGUAGUGCUGAGCUGCUGAAGGUUCAUUACUGCCUAGCCUUGAGAAUGGAGGCCCCACUGGGUACUCUUCAUAAGAGAUGCCCCAACUCGUCAAAGGAAUUAUGGAGUCUGGAAUUUUGAUAGGUGCUACGCAGAAGGUGCCUUAUGACUAUCCCCUAAUAGAAAUCCUAGGCACUAAAUCCCUAAUGAGCUUCCCUGGUGGACAACAUUUCAUAUAUGUUGUCAAAAGUUGUUGCUGAGGGAAUUAAGCAGAGCCCAUAUGAUUCCACAGGGAAAGGACUUCUAGAAACUUUCAUAGCUGGUUUCCACUGGACAUUGCCACAUAUGACAUUUCCCUUUACUUAUAUGCUUUGCAUCCUUUUACUGUAGUAUAUGAUAGCCAUGAAUAAGACUAUGAGUCCUCCUAGCAAAUCAUCAAACCAGAAGAUUCAUGCGGUUUUUAUAUCAAUGGAUUUCCUAAUAUUGUAUCAACAUCAUAUUCCCAGAAUAAAUCACACUUGAUCAAAA
rnacentral:lncRNA from 1 species